AAGUACCUAUAUUGUUUGUGCAGGUACACCUUUUAAUUUCAACUACGGAUCUUUUGAAAUAAAUCAGAUGAUAGACAAUUUUUGUGCCUUCGGUAAUAAAAAAAUAAAUUUGAAGUAAUCACUGCAAUUGAUAUACCUUAUUUCUCAUUUUUUAUUUUGUUUAAUUUUCCUUAAAAAUAUUAUUUUAGUUAUCUAACAAAAAAGAGAGUUUUAUACCAAAUGCUGGUUUUUGAAAGUUCCAUCUUGUCUAUAUCCUUGCAAAUUUAUUGCACUCCUAAGCUAUUUUUUCUUUAGUUUG
rnacentral:misc_RNA from 1 species